rfam:Strongylocentrotus purpuratus Contig139208_fixed, whole genome shotgun sequence.
GGCAUGGUGGCUCAGUGGUUAGAGCGCCCGCCUCAUGAACGGGAGGUCGUGGGUUCGAACCCCAGCCGAGUCA